UCGGCUUAGAGUUUGAUCAUGGCUCAGAUUGAACGCUGGCGGCAGGCUUAACACAUGCAAGUCGAACGGUAAAGUAGCUUGCUACUUACGAGUGGCGGACGGGUGAGUAACGUAUGGGAAUUUACCGAAUGGAGGGGGACAACAGUUGGAAACGGCUGCUAAUACCGCAUAACGUCGAGAGACCAAAGGGUUUCGACUUGCCAUUUGAUGAGCCCAUAUGAGAUUAGCUAGUUGGUGUGGUAAUGGCUCACCAAGGCGACGAUCUCUAGCUGGUUUGAGAGGAUGACCAGCCACACUGGGACUGAGACACGGCCCAGACUCCUACGGGAGGCAGCAGUGGGGAAUAUUGCACAAUGGGGGGAACCCUGAUGCAGCCAUGCCGCGUGUAUGAAGAAGGCCUUAGGGUUGUAAAGUACUUUCGUGGAGGAGGAAGGGUUUACGUAAUCGUGGACAUUGACGUUACUCCAAGAAGAAGCACCGGCUAACUCCGUGCCAGCAGCCGCGGUAAUACGGAGGGUGCGAGCGUUAAUCGGAAUGACUGGGCGUAAAGGGCAUGUAGGCGGAUGAUUAGUUAGAUGUGAAAUCCCCGGGCUU
rnacentral:rRNA from 1 species